rnacentral:rRNA from 1 species
CCUACGGGUGGCAGCAGUGGGGAAUAUUGGGCAAUGGGCGCAAGCCUGACCCAGCAACGCCGCGUGAAGGAAGAAGGCUUUCGGGUUGUAAACUUCUUUUUUGAGGGGCGAAAGAAAUGACGGUACCUCAUGAAUAAGCCACGGCUAACUACGUGCCAGCAGCACCGGCAAUACGUAGGUUGCAAGCGUUAUCCGGAUUUACUGGGUGUAAAGGUCGUGUAGGCGGGACUGCAAGUCAGAUGUGAAAGUUAUUGGCUCAACCCAUAACUUGCAAUUGAAACUGGAGUUCUUGAGUGCUGGGGAGGCAGGCGGAAUGCGGGGUGUAGCGGUGAAAUGCGUAGAUAUACCGAAGAACACCAAUGGCGAAGGCAGCCUGCUGGACAUUAACUGACGCUGAGGCGCGAAAGCGUGGGGAGCAAACAGGAUGAGAUACCCCUGUAGUC